rnacentral:rRNA from 1 species
CCAGCAGCCGCGGUAAUUCCAGCUCCAAUAGCGUAUAUUAAAGUUGUUGCAGUUAAAAAGCUCGUAGUUGGAUUUCUGUUAAUAAUUUAUAUAAAAUAUUUUGAUGAAUAUUUAUAUAAUAUUAACAUAAUUCAUAUUACUAUAUAUUUUAGUAUAUGAAAUUUUACUUUGAGAAAAUUAGAGUGCUUAAAGCAGGCAUAUGCCUUGAAUACUCCAGCAUGGAAUAAUAUUAAAGAUUUUUAUCUUUCUUAUUGGUUCUAAGAUAAGAAUAAUGAUUAAUAGGGACAGUUGGGGGCAUUUGUAUUUAACAGUCAGAGGUGAAAUUCUUAGAUUUGUUAAAGACAAACUAAUGCGAAAGCAUUUGCCAAGGAUGUUUUCAUUAAUCAAGAACGAAAGUUAGGGGAUCGAAGACGAUCAGAUACCGUCGUAGUCUUAA